rnacentral:lncRNA from 1 species
GCACCGCUCCAACAAGCGACUGGUGACUUCAAGAAUGCAGAAUCGCUUUCCUACCGUCCUGGAGGCUGGGAAGUGCAAGUUCAAGGUGCUGGCCUCCUGGGCCUUCUUGCUGCCCUGUCAUGUAGGAAUGGACGCUGUGUCUCCACCUGGCAGAAGGGUGGGAGAGAGCAAAUCCACCAGGAAGCCUCUUUUCUGAGCUCCUAAUGCAUUCCCAAGGGAGGAGGCCCCAGGACCCAAGCACCACAAAGCCCCACUCCACCCCACCCCCUCCUUAGUGCCAGCACCUUGGCCACUGAGUUCCCAUGCCUGAAUUUUAGAGGAAAGACGUUCGAACCAGUUAAGCCUCCCUCCUGUUUUAGAUCCUGGAGCUGAAAACCCAAUGAGGACAUCCUCUGGGCGUUCUGUUUGGGGCUGGACGGUGAGCCCCCUCCCUGUGCACGGCCCUUUGCUGGGAGGGAACGCUUCAAGGACAGGGAGACACAGAAGGGAAGACGGGAAUGCUACUCCAGUGGGUCCAGAAGGCGGAGCACAGACUGGAGAGGGUCACUCUGAAGUCUUAAGGUCUCCUGGAAUCUGCCAGAUCCGGUGCUUCCUAGGAACCCAUCACCCUUUCUCCUUCCUAUUUUUCCCUCUUCAGAACAGGAAUGUUCACCCCAUGCCUGUAAAACGAUUGUAUUUUGGAAGGAAGGAAGUUGUCAGAUUUCACAGGUUUCCACCUGGAGAUGAACCUUGCCUCAGGAUGAACCGUAUUCUCAUCCAUAUGAUCUAGAUGGUUCUUAGGUGAAAUUGUAAACUUUAGACUUCAAAAUUGAUGUGUGGGGAUGAGGUUAAAACUUCGGCGACUAUUGGGGUACAAGUAAUGAGUUUUGCAUGAAAGCAUGCCAAUCUGGGGGCAGGGAGAGGGGCUGGGGUGGAAUGUUACAGACUGAGCUACUGUCUUCCUGAAUUUCAGGUGGGUGACUCCAUUUGGAAACAGGGUUUUUAGGAGGUGCUUAAGGUUCAAUGAGGCCAAUAGGACUGGCGGCCUUACAAGAGGGAGACAGCCUCUCACCUUGUGCACGCACUGGGAAAAGCCCACCUGAGGACACAGUGUGAAGGCAGAAAUCUGCAAGCCAGGAAGAAACUCCUAGCCAGAAACUGAGCCCUUGGACUUCCCAGCCUCCAGAGGCGUGAGAAGUAACAAUUCUCUGAGCCAACCAACCUACGGUUAUCUGUUAGAGCAGAUCAAGCAGACUAAGACAACAUAGACUGAAAAAAGUUAACAGAAGGGCUGGCGCUGCCGUAUAGUGGGCUUAGCCUCUGUCUGUGGCACCAGCAUCAUCCCAUAUGGCCGCCAGUUCAAGUCCCGGCUGCUCCACUUUUGAUCCAGCUCCCUGCUAAUGUGCCUGGGAAAGCAGCAGAAGAUGGCCAAGUCCUUGGGCCCCUGCACCCACAUGGGAGACCCAGAAGCUCCUGGCUCCUGGCUUCUGAUUGGCCCUGUUCUGGCCACUGCAGUCAUUUGGAGAGUGAACCGACUGAUGGAAGACCCUUCUCUCUGUCUGUAGCUCUACCUUGCAAAUAAAUAAAUAAAAUCUUUUAAAAAAAAAAGUUAA